rnacentral:misc_RNA from 1 species
GAUGAAGAACGUAGCGAAAUGCGAUAAGUAGUGUGAAUUGCAGAAUUCAGUGAAUCAUCGAAUCUUUGAACGCACAUUGCGCCCCUUGGUAUUCCAUGGGACAUGCCUGUUCGAGCGUCAUUUGUACCUUCAAGCUCUGCUUGGUGUUGGGUGUUUGUCUCGCCUCUGCGCGUAGACUCGCCUCAAAACAAUUGGCAGCCGGCGUAUUGAUUUCGGAGCGCAGUACAUCUCGCGCCUUGCACUCAUAACGACGACGUCCAAAAGUACAUUUUUACACUCUUGACCUCGGAUCAGGUAGGGAUACCCGCUGAACUUAAGCAUAUCAAUAAGCGGAGGA